AAAGCAAACAGAGAGUGAAGGCGUCUAUAUAGGUCUCAAAACACCUGGCAGUGCCAGACUGUCUACCAGGCUGCACCCAGUCCCAGGAGACUGACGAUGUCAUAACUCUUCUUCUGAGCACCGUCAUUGGCAGAAAGGACAUUAAUGACACAUUCGUAUGUGUGUGUACCCUCAGGGCUUUCUACGGUGGAGGGGGCAGGACUCAUGCCGCACAUAUACACACAAACAUGUGUUCCAGUCCAUUCAAAGGGUGUAUGGUGUGGGAACGGAGAUGGGGGAGGUCCCUGCGUUCUUCACGGCCCGGGCGGCCAGGUUGUCAGGGACAGGCCCGGGUGAUGAAGCCUGUGAGGAGUUUGCAGAGAUGCUCCACUCAACAAUGGUAAGAGCCGUCAGGUGGGUCAUAUCACAUUCAUUCAUCCCUCCCUCUCUCUCACCUUUCCAGUUGACCUGCUUAUUCUCUUGCUAUCUUUUAUUUCAGCACUUUUUUUAUUCCUCUUUUCUCUCCUGCAUUCUGUCCACAACCACACCCCCAUGAUUCACAUGAUGCCUGUUUCUUGUUCUCCUUUCUCAAAAACCUCUUAUUAGAGGGAAUUGCUAAGACAAGCAUCACUGUUAGUACUAAUACUUAUGGUUAGGGAUUUGAACAAACCCCUAACACUAAGUAUUAAACUUUGGCUGAAUGAAUGAAUGAAACCUCAAAUAUAUCACAAUCCCAUAAUACUCCAGGAAGAAUUGGUGGCUUUUUGCCAUCAUUUACAGACCUAUCACAUGGUUUAGUCUGAUUAAUCUGCAACCAAUAGGCCCAUCACCAUGGCAACUGUGAUAAUGACUAAGAAGAGUUUAACUACAACAGCCUCAUCUACUCGUAAACACAACCAACUGUUCUGGAGAUUGGUGUGAAACAAUCUGAUGUCUCUUUAUUUUACAAUGUGAGGAAACACUUUUUUUUUUCGAAAAACUCCUCAGUGUGUAAGUUGUCCUGCACCGGAGAGGUGUGCUAUUACUUUUGAAGCAAAAAAAAAAAAAAACCUCUUCAGUAGUGACCCUUUCCACCCUACAAUAGCAACUGCAUAGCAUUGUGUUGAAAACCAUUCAGAAUAUCCUGGCAUAGCAACUUGGUAGCGAUUCAACACCCUAACAAUGGAAUAGCAGCAUGCUAACCAUUUACAACAUGCUUGAAAUGGCAUAAUAACUUACCAACAACCAUUCAGAACACCCUGGAAAUGGCGUAGCAACUCGCUAACCAUUCAGAACACCCUGGAAAUGCCAUAUCGACUUACUAACAGCCAUUCAGAACACCUUAGCAAUGGCAUAGCCACAUGCUAACCCCUAGCAUGGUAGCAAUAGCACAGCAACAUGCUAACCAUUCAGAACAACUUACUAAAAACCAUUCAAAACACCAUAGAAAUGUCAUAGCAAAUUGUUAACUAUUCAGAACACCCUAGAAAUGGCAUAACAACUUACUAACAACCAUUCAGAAAACCCUAGCAAUGGCAUAGCAACAUGCUAACCAUUCAGAACACCGUAGAAAUGGCAUAACAACUUACUAACAACCAACCAUCCAGAAUACCGUAGCAAUGGCAUAGCAAAUAAAUUGCUUAUAACCAUUUGGAACACCCUAGUAAUGGCAUAACAACAUUCUAACCUUUCAGAACACUUUAGCGACUGCAUAACACCACCCUGACAAUCAUCCUGUCAUUAUGGUGCCAGGUUUUGCACAGUCAAUAUUUCCUCAGAAGUGUUCUGCACCCAUACUGAAACAUUCUCUUGAAGCAGCCAAUAAAAAGAUCUCUGAACACGUUUUGAGUUUAUGUGUGUGUGUGUGUGUGUGUGUGUUCUGAUAUAUGUUAUGACAGAUGUAGGUCUUUCUCAACAGUUUUUCGUGUGAAUGGGAAGUUUCUGGUCAUGUCAGACUUACGGGGAACCUUUAUCUUGGUUGUUAACCCCAAACCGUCACCGAUGGAAGUAUGUAUCGUGACUCAUUUAUCAUGUGGUCAUUUUGUUUCUGAAUUACUCUACACCUCAGCAGCCAGUCAUUUCACUAAAAAAAUUAUCUUCUGUGAUUACAUAACGGCAUUGCUGCAUUUAGAUUAUAUAUAAUAUUUGUUUUGUUUUAUGUUUUAAAUAGAUUUUUUCUUUUUUUUUUACAUUUUGUUACACUUAGACAUGCCUGGUACUCUGACUAAUUCUAAUGUAUAUUAUCUCAUAAAAGGCGGAUCUCAACUGGUUUUGCAUUAGAUAUUAAGUUACCCAAUGCAGUUCAGUAAAAAAACAAGACCGAAACAAUAAUAAUAAUAAUUCACUGCACAAAAAACAUAUAGUGGUCAUGUUGGCAUUUGAUUCGGCUGGCAUUUAACAGAUUAAUUUGCACCAAAAUAGUGUAGCUUUGAUUAGACACACAGGCUGUGAUGUCAACAAUAUAAUAUGGGAGGAGUUUUGAUUAUUUGUGUUCCCCAUAGUUUCCCCUGUAGUCCAUAACCCCAUAAAAACUGAUGGGGUAACAAACAACUAGUUGAGAACCACUGAUAUAUUUGUAUAAAUUCAUUUAUUUUGUUUAUUAGUGUGUGUGUGUGUGUGUGUAUUUUGUGUGUAUAUAUUCCUGUCCACACAUUUUUCCACAAUACCGAAAGAGGGAGUGCUGAUAGAGAGAGAGGGAGGGAUAGCAAAAUUAAAAUGCAGUUCAGAACAGAAAUGAGAGCCUGAGUUGUUUGAAGAAAACCGACAUGUUAUUUUGCACGAGUUACAAUGUGUGUCUGUUGCCUUUUCUACCUCUCCUAUCUGUUUCUUUCCUGCACUCUCUCUCUCUCUCUUUCUCUCUUUUUCUAUGUCUCACUCCCUCUCUGUCACUGUUUGGUCAUUCUGACGUCCGCUUCACAGCAUCUCUCACUGGCGCUGCAGGAGUGUUUCUCUGUGCAGUCUGUAGCCUGAUUCCCCCCCAAAUCUCUCCUUUUGCUCCUCAUGUGCUCUGAGACUGAAGACGACACACUUUCUACUUCUGUGGCUUUCUUUUUUUUAAAUCUACUGAAAUCUUCUGCCACUUUGAAUCCGAAAUCAUCCACCAGUAGCGUUGCAAGCGAAGACGAAGCGGGUCCCCUUCUCCGAAACGGAUUUGAAACGAUGUAGCUUGCUUUUUGUAAACUACAUUUUGUCCAGGACAGUAUCCGCAAUAGCAUUGCAAAUAUUGAGUAGUCGUCUACUUUUUUUUUUUGCACAUUUUUCAGCUUUGACGGAGCACAUGAAGUGGUUAAUGGGUAUUUGUGUGUUUUACUAAUUUGUUUAUGUGUUUCUAGGUGUGUUUCUGUGCUUGUAUGACGUCUAACAGCAUAACAGAAUGGUUCCAGACGUCCUUUGCCCAAAGGUCAAGGGCAUGGGAUUAUAUGUCAAGUGUCUCUGUCGUCAUGUUGGUUUCUAGAGAUCACCAGACAUAUCGCACGUGUACGACUGCACACACACAAGCAAGGCAGGCACAAAGCAGCUCAACAGACGAG
rnacentral:lncRNA from 1 species